rnacentral:rRNA from 1 species
UCCAAUCGAACUCGGAGAUAGCUGGUUCUCCCCGAAAUAGCUUUAGGGCUAGCCUGAGGUAGUAAGUAUAGGCGGUAGAGCACUGAUCGGGCUAGGGGCCGUAAAGGUUACCGAACCCUGUCAAACUCCGAAUGGAUAUACUGUAGAGCCUUGGAGUCAGACUACGAGUGAUAAGAUCCGUGGUCAAAAGGGAAACAGCCCAGACCACCAGCUAAGGUCCCCAAUGUCGUACUAAGUGGAAAAGGAUGUGGGGUUGCAUAAACAACCAGGAUGUUGGCUCAGAAGCAGCCACCAUUUAAAGAGUGCGUAAUAGCUCACUGGUCGAGAGACCCUGCGCCGAAGAUUCCCGGGGCUAAAGUACGAAACCGAAGCUGUGGCUGUAUACGUAAAGUAUACGGGGUAGGGGAGCGUUCCCAUAGGGUAGAAGUCGAACUGGAAGGUUCGGUGGACUUGUGGGAAGUGAGAAUGUUGGUAUGAGUAGCGAAAAGAAAGGUGAGAAUCCUUUCCACCGAAAGCAUAAGGAUUCCUGAGCAACGAUCGUCGUCUCAGGGUAAGUCGGGACCUAAUCCGAGGCAGAGAGCGUAGGAGAUGGACAACUGGUUGAUAUUCCAGUACCGGUAGUAAUUGUUUGAGCAAUGGAGUGACACAGAAGGGCAGGCAAGCAUGCGAAUGGAAGAGCAUGUGUAAGCGUGUAGGGUGGUGCAUAGGCAAAUCCGUGCACUGAAAGCCUGAGGCGUGAUGCGGAGUGAGCAGAGAUGCGAGCGAAGUUGUUGACCCCACACUGUCGAGAAAAGCUUCUAGUGAGAGAGCUACCGCCCGUACCGUAAACCGACACAGGUAUGCGGGGAGAGAAUCCUAAGGUGCGCGGGAGAACCCUCGUUAAGGAACUCGGCAAAAUGUACCCGUAACUUCGGGAUAAGGGUAGCCACUGUUGUGAAGUCCCAUGCGGAUGGAGCAUAGAGUGGUCGCAGAGAAGAGGCCCAAGCGACUGUUUACCAUAAACACAGGUGCCUGCUAAAGCGAAAGCUGACGUAUAGGUGCUGACACCUGCCCAGUGCCGGAAGGUUAAGGAAGGAUGUUCGGAUUAGUCCAAAGCAUUCGACUGAAGCCCCGGUGAACGGCGGCCGUAACUAUAACGGUCCUAAGGUAGCGAAAUUCCUUGUCGGGUAAG